rnacentral:rRNA from 1 species
UACAGAGGGUGCGAGCGUUAAUCGGAGUUACUGGGCGUAAAGGGCGCGUAGGCGGUAAUAAGGGUGUGAUGUGAAAGCCCCGGGCUUAACCUGGGAAGGGCAUCGCAAACCGUAUAACUAGAGUGACAAGAGAGGGUGGCGGAAUUUCCGGUGUAGCGGUGAAAUGCGUAGAGAUCGGAAGGAACGUCGAUGGCGAAGGCAGCCACCUGGCUUGAGUACUGACGCUGAGGCGCGAAAGCGUGGGGAGCGAACAGG